rnacentral:tRNA from 2 species
GGAGAGAUCGCAUAGUUGGUCUAGUGCGCCCGCUUGGAGUGCGGGUAGGCCCGCAAGGGUCUCGGGGGUUCGAAUCCCCCUCUCUCCGCCA